GACGAACGCUGGCGGCGUGCCUAAUACAUGCAAGUCGAACGCAGUGGGGACGGGUGAGUAACACGUGGGUAACCUCCCGUCAGACGGGAUAACCGUUGGAAACAGGUGCUAAACCGAUACUGAAUGAUGGACCCGCGGGGCAUUAGCUAGUGGGUGAGGUAACGGCUCACCAAGGCCACGAUGCCUAGCCGGCCUGCGAGGUGGAGCGGCCACACUGGGACUGAGACACGGCCCAGACUCCUACGGGAGGCAGCAGUGGGGAAUCUUCGGCAAUGGACGAAAGUCUGACGGAGCAACGCCGCGUGAGUGAAGAAGGUUUUCGGGUCGUAAAGCUCUUUUGUUAGAGAAGCGGUAUCUAAAGAGGAAGCCACGGCUAACUACGUGCCAGCAGCCGCGGUAAUUC
rnacentral:rRNA from 1 species